rnacentral:misc_RNA from 1 species
UCUGGGUUUAUCCCAGCGGUCCCGUCAGAAAAAUAUAACUGACGGCGAGGGUUGCGCUCGUUGCGGGACUUAACCCAACACCUCACGGCACGAGCUGACGACAGCCAUGCAGCACCUGUGUAGGCUGGUAUUGCUACCUCGUCACUCUUUCAAGCUUCUACUACCCACAUGUCAAGGCCAGGUAAGGUUCUUCGCGUUGCAUCGAAUUAAGCCACAUACUCCACCGCUUGUGCAGGCCCCCGUCAAUUUCUUUGAGUUUUAAUCUUGCGACCGUAUUUCCCAGGCGGCAUAUUUAUCGCGUUAGCUUCGCCACAAAAGGGGUCGAUUCCUUUUACAGCAAAUAUGCACCGUUUACGGCUAGGACUAC